ACUCCUACGGGAGGCAGCAGUAGGGAAUCUUCCACAAUGGGCGAAAGCCUGAUGGAGCAACGCCGCGUGGGUGAAGAAGGUCUUCGGAUCGUAAAACCCUGUUGUUAGAGAAGAAAGUGCGUGAGAGUAACUGUUCACGUUUCGACGGUAUCUAACCAGAAAGCCGCGGCUAACUACGUGCCAGCAGCCGCGGUAAUACGUAGGUGGCAAGCGUUAUCCGGAUUUAUUGGGGCGUAAAGGGAACGCAGGCGGUCUUUUAAGUCUGAUGUGAAAGCCUUCGGCUUAACCGGAGUAGUGCAUUGGAAACUGGGAGACUUGAGUGCAGAAGAGGAGAGUGGAACUCCAUGUGUAGCGGUGAAAUGCGUAGAUAUAUGGAAGAACACCAGUGGCGAAAGCGGCUCUCUGGUCUGUAACUGACGCUGAGGUUCGAAAGCGUGGGUAGCAAACAGGAUUAGAUACCCUGGUAGG
rnacentral:rRNA from 1 species